GACAAUACAGGAACUUUUUUGUUAUUGCCUAAGUGCUAUUAAAAGAAAAGGCUAAAUCAGCAGUGAAGUGGAUAAAACUUUGCAGACAAAAGCAAUGAUGUGCUGAACCCAUGUGGAACUUCUGAGAGAGAAAGGACAAGUGCUUCUGCCCUGAAACCCAUGCACUGGCCACUUGGCAGAAGAAAAAAAAUCUUCAUUAAGCUUUUGGGUAACAGGACCUAUAACUAGCAAUUCACCAAAGGGAAAACUCAAGCCAAGGUGCAAAUACUGAAGCCCUGAACUGACUGUGACACAUUUUUAUGCCAUAACAUGGCAUUCCAGACAUUUCAGAGUCAUGAAAUGAAUGAAAAAGAAAAAAAAGAAGAGUUGGCAAAAGAAGAUCUUCUGGAAGAGAAUUAUUCCACUAUCAAACUAAUGGUAAUAAUGGCCUAUACUUAUCAGCAUCCGAAACAAGAACAAACAGUGCUUGAUCCCAGGAAAACAGUUGAAACAUUGCAUCACUGAAGCCUUUCUUUCUGUGCAACUCUGAGAAAUGAAACCCUUCCUCUGCUCACUGUAAUUUGAAGAUUUUUCAGGAUUUCUAUAUUGAAGCCUAUGACAAUGAACUCCAUCUCUGUGGUUAUGCAGUUUUUAAUUGUGAAUAACUUCUUAUUACCUACUCAGAAGAAACAUUGACUUAGCCUUGGUCCCCUAAUCAGAAAACAAGUUGGAGGCAUCAAAUCAAAAAAUUCCUUACUCUUUAAGGAAACACAAAGAAUGACGGUCACUUGGUAAGUUUUCAGUAUUCACAGGGGAAAGAAGGAAAAAGGCAAAUUAUUUAAUUUAAAUGAUACAAAAUUAGAAGUAGUAUCUGUCAUCUUGCAAGACAAAGAUUUGCACCAUGAGAUCACUGUACUGAGCAAGCUGAAGCCAUGUCUGCCUUUCCGAAGCUGAGUGCAACUUGAUUCAACUGCUUUUUGCAAGCAGAUAUGAUCCUGGUAUUUUACAACAGCUGGAAAAGGAUCAAAACAAAUGCACAAUUCCAGUUACUCAAAAUGAGACAACAGAAAUCAUGGAUCUUGAGUCUGCGAGGGCUAUUUUCACAAUGGUUUCUUGUAAACAGUAUCCAAUUAUGGUUGAUGAAACAGCAAACUUCCGCAAGAAAAAGCAACUGAUUUUAUUCAAGCAUAGAUGGAUAAUGACAGAAGGUUCAUGUAGAGUCCACAAGAUUACUCAAUGUGGAGAAGUAGUUGAAGUGGUAAAGUUACAAGAUUUUAUUCAGUCCUGAGGCUCAACAACUGUGAUGGAAACUUCUGCAAGGAUUUCAAUACCAUGGAAAGUUUAGCAUCGGUAGCAAAAUGGAGUUGGCAAGGGCUCUGUUUGCUCAUUACAAUGCCCAUGCUUGGAAUUUGGCAUGGCUUCAGAUUGCACAAAUUCUGCUAUUGUAUGUGAUAUCCCUGUAGUUGUUUACCAAACUAUCAACUUUAAUUUAAAUGAUACAAAUAAGAUGUUAUUUUUCAGGCCAAAUAAAGAAGAGUCAUGAUGACAUCAUAAGGAAUUUGACCAAAAGGAUAGCAUGCAUGUGGAGGAGCACUGGUUUUAAUUUCUGAACUGACUAGAACAUGUUGCAAUAGGAAAACUGGAAGACAUGCAAAGAAAGAAUCUAAAAUGGUUGUUUGAACUGAUUGCAAAGUAUUUUGAGUUUGAAAAAUCGCCUUCUUUCAUACUAAUUAUGUAGAACAAUCCCAAGGAGGGUAGACCUUCUUUCCAAUGCAAGUUGCUGCAAAAGAAGGCAAGUCUUACUUUUGUUCACUCACGUUGCUAAAAUCUACAAAUAAGGUAUCAAGCAAAGACUAACGCCUUGUAAUCCAAAUGGCAAAAUAGGGCUGCAGUAGGAGGUUUUUCAUGGUACAAUUUUAGAGAUGUAUGCAAUGAGGAGCAUUCACUGGAUAUGUUAUAAGAGCUCUAGCUACAGAAUUCUUGGCGGAGAAGCAAGGAUAAAAAUCUGUGAAGGGUGUAAUUUCUGAACUGCCACAGACAUUUUGGCAGAAAUUAUUUGCCAAGGCUUACAUUCUACGACAAAUCCACCAUAAAGAUGUGAAGUUAGAAAUUCUUGGAGGUGCCUAAGAUUCCAGGGAAGAGGAAAGCUCCAAAGAGAGCGUGGCUGACAAAUAAAACUAGACACUCAAAUUGAUCACAGUAUUUUAUAACUCUUGCAUUGGCUCCUAAAUAGAUUUCCCAAUGUCCAGCACUCAAUCAAACGUUGAACAGAAGAGGCACAAGUUAUAUGAGAUCUGGACACUCAUGAUGUCAAUCUUAAUAGAAACAUGCAUGCAGACAUGCUUUGGAUGGAUGGUUCUAAUUGAAACUGAUUGACUGGUUUUCCAACUUUAUUAGUAUCUUUUCAAGAUCCACCUGCUUCAAUGCAUGAGGAAGAUUCUAAACGAUGGAAAGGGGGACAUGAGAUUGAGACCUGAGUCAAAGGGUCUGGCAUCAAAAUAACACUGUUUUAACCAGCAAAAUGAGCCCUGGAAAAAGUCCUUCCACAUGGGGCGACUCAGCAUACUCCUCUUUGCUAAGCAAACACUCCAGGUGCAGCUGGUCAGCAAAUAAAUAGCAGUAUAAGAACCAGAGCAAAGGCACUGCAUGGCCAAUGCAGGAGAUGUGGCCCAAGAGUAAAAGACUGGAGUCAUAUGUAUAAGCCUCAACCUCUCAGUGUGUGAAGCUUGACAGACAGUUCAUAUCUUGUGAGACAGUGUCAGCUCGCAAUGAGAUUAUUCAAGUCAGAUCAGAAAUGUGUACAUUUGUUCAACCAGCCACCAAUACAACCUGUUUUCAACAGCAGUGAAGGCAGUAACAACAGGCUUGGUGGCACAGAUAAUGAAUGCUCUUUGUGGGCACGUUUAAGUACUCUCUUCAUUAUAAUGAACUGUGGCUUUGAUCCACAAUUUAACAAUCAUGACUGAACUUGUAUAUGAUUUUACAUGUUUAUGAGGGGAAAAAAAUGAUGACUUACAACUUGCAGAUGUUGCUGAAGAAUUCACUUCAAGAUGCUUGUCAGGAAGAUCGCUCCCUGGACAUUUUUGAGAUUUGUAAGUUGUACUUUUCCCUCAUAUUUGAAAGAUUAACAUUGUAGUGAAUAGUAUUUACUAUGACUAAACUUGUCCACUAUUAAUAAAGUGAAAUAAUGAGCCCUUA